CCUACGGGUGGCAGCAGUGAGGAAUAUUGGUCAAUGGCCGGAAGGCUGAACCAGCCAAGCCGCGUGAAGGACGAAGGUGCCAAGCAUUGUAAACUUCUUUUGCCAAGGGACAAAAUCAGGCUCGAGAGCCUGACCGAGGGUCCUUGAAGAAAAAGCCUCGGCUAACUCCGUGCCAGCAGCCGCGGUAAUACGGAGGAUGCGAGCGUUAUCCGGAUUUAUUGGGUUUAAAGGGUGCGUAGGCGGGCUGUUAAGUCAGCGGGAAAAGCCCGGGGCUCAACCCCGGCGAGCCGUUGAAACUGGCUGUCUUGAGAUGUCGAGAGGUAUGCGGAAUGCGCAGUGUAGCGGUGAAAUGCGUAGAUAUUGCGCAGAACACCGAUUGCGAAGGCAGCAUACCGGCGGCGAUCUGACGCUGAGGCACGAAAGCGUGGGUAUCGAACAGGAUUAGAUACCCUUGUAGUC
rnacentral:rRNA from 1 species